UACAGAGGGGGCAAGCGUUGUUCGGAAUUACUGGGCGUAAAGCGUGCGCAGGCGGUUUUGUAAGUCUGUCGUGAAAGCCCCGGGCUCAACCUGGGAAUUGCGAUGGAGACUGCAAGGCUUGAAUCUGGCAGAGGGGGGUAGAAUUCCACGUGUAGCAGGUGAAAUGCGUAGAGAUGUGGAGGAACACCGAUGGCGAAGGCAGCCCCCUGGGUCAAGAUUGACGCUCAUGCACGAAAGCGUGGGGAGCAAACAGG
rnacentral:rRNA from 1 species